rnacentral:tRNA from 1 species
UCUUAAGUAGUUUAAUUAAAAUAGUGAUUUGUGGAAUUGCAGAUAAAUAAGUUUUUUAAGAA